rnacentral:rRNA from 1 species
GCCCCUACGGGGCGCAGCAGUUGGGAAUAUUGGACAAUGGAGGAAACUCUGAUCCAGUGACGCCGCGUGAAGGAAGAAGGUCUUCGGAUUGUAAACUUAUUUUAUCAGGGAAGAAAAAAAUGACUGUACCUGAAGAAGAAGCACCGGCUAACUACGUGCCAGCAGCCGCGGUAAUACGUAGGGGGCAAGCGUUAUCCGGAUUUACUGGGUGUAAAGGGAGCGUAGGCGGCAAGGUAAGCCAGAAGUGAAAGCCCGCGGCUCAACUGCGGGACUGCUUUUGGAACUAUCUAGCUAGAUUGCAGGAG